UCCCUGGUGGCUCAGAGGGUAAAGAAUCUGCCUGCAAUGCAGGAGACCCAGGUUCAACCCCUGGGUUGGGAA
rnacentral:tRNA from 1 species